GGGCACCGUCCGAUGAUAGGCUCGCCCUCCAACAAGGAGCACGGUGAGGGAACCCGGUGGAAGUCCGGGACGGUCCCGCCGCUGUAAGGGGAGAUGCUCCCCCGCCACGAAGCCACUGGCGCAAGCCGGGAAGGCGGCGAGGGAGGGAGCCCCGAGUCAGAAGACCUGCCGCUCUCCUCAUAACCGA
rnacentral:ncRNA from 2 species